GAGUUUGAUCAUGGCUCAGGAUGAACGCUGGCGGUCUGCUUAACACAUGCAAGUCGAACGAAAUCCCUCGGGAUUUAGUGGCGGACGGGUGAGUAACACGUGAGAAUCUAGCUUCUGGAUGGGGACAACAGUGGGAAACCGCUGCUAAUACCCAAUGAGCCGCAAGGUAAAAGAUUUAUCGCCAGAAAAUGAGCUCGCGUCCGAUUAGUUAGUUGGUAGAGUAACAGCCUACCAAGACAGCGAUCGGUAGCUGGUCUGAGAGGAUGAGCAGCCACACUGGGACUGAGACACGGCCCAGACUCCUACGGGAGGCAGCAGUGGGGAAUUUUCCGCAAUGGGCGCAAGCCUGACGGAGCAAGACCGCGUGGGGGAGGAAGGCUCUUGGGUUGUAAACCCCUUUUCUCAGGGAAGAAAUAUUGACGGUACCUGAGGAAUCAGCCUCGGCUAACUCCGUGCCAGCAGCCGCGGUAAUACGGAGGAGGCAAGCGUUAUCCGGAAUUAUUGGGCGUAAAGAGUCCGUAGGUGGUAGAGCAAGUCGGCGGUUAAAGACUGGGGCUUAACUCCAGAAGGGCCGUGGAAACUGCACCACUAGAGGGCGGUAGGGGUAGAGGGAAUUCCCGGUGU
rnacentral:rRNA from 1 species